CCGGGGCCGGGAGACCAGGGACCUGGAGUUGCUCGACCUGGUGGAGGAGGUCCAGCUUAACUUCUACGACUUCCUCGGCGUGCAGCAGAUGCCUCGUUGACCCAGGGCACGGGAGUGACUUGGUCGUUUCUAACUUACCCCAACAGAUGAGUCACUUACUUAAACACUGUGUUUCCUCUUUCUUACAUUUUCUUCGUUCUGCAUUUUUUUCCGGGUCACGGUGAGUGAGGUCAUCACUGACUGAGAGACUUGGGAGACAUGGCUGUUCCUCAACAAGUUCUGCAGAUGAAAUCAUCACGGACUUAGAGCCUUGGAAGACGUGGUUGUUUCUCAACAACUCCUGCAGAUGAAUGCCCCGCCGAUCCACGGCCUGGGGGUGACUUUGCCGUUUCUAGCUUACCUCGCACAGAAGAGUAAAUAAAACUUUGUGGCUUUUUUAUUUUUCUUUCUGGGUCCUUUGUUGAUCAGGCCCCGAGGAGCACCCAUCAGAUCUUUUCGACUCUUGUUCUUGUCCAACUGAGCGCUGUCUGGAAUCAUCUGGGCUCUGGGACCGCCUCGAUCAUGUCAUAAUGGCGUUUCUUCUCAGCUCCCAGCAGCCCCUUCCGGUCUUCUCCACUCCCGCUGUUCUGCCGCGGAGUAUCAUUGAGGUGAAAUCAGGCCCUGGCACACCGUCACGGCAGGUGAGAAGGAAUUCAAUCAUGCUGUCUCUCGCUCGGCCACAGUGACUCCCAUCGCCUUCACUAUCUGUUCUAGACUUUGCACUCCUGUCCUUUACGUGCUCGGCUUCCCUUAACGUAUUCUGUCAGAGGCAAUUGGUAGUGAGGGCAGUGCUCCGCCCUCAAGUGUGUAAUACUAUUAUGACUCCCCAAGCCCCUGGUGUUAUCCGAAGGUGCGCCGCCACCGUCCUGGCAUCCAGGUACCAUCGGUUUGUCAUCGGAUGACGAUAUUAAGCUGUGUUCUCUUUGUCACAUGUACAUAUCUGUAAUUGUAUUUUGCGUUCCCAGAAAACUAAUCUCGUUUGGCAUCGAGAAUGUGUAGUGUUUAUAUAGUAAACAAU